CUCCUUUUCAUUUGUUUUCAAGGUUUGCUCUUACCCUUGCGUCUUUCUUACAAACAAUAAAUGUUACAAAUAAUCUUUUCGCCCCAUUUUCCCCUAGAACUCACUGCUAUGCUUAAGUUUGUGGCUGUUCUCAAACUACUGUUUUCAGUAAAUGCUUAUGUGUAUGCAUAAAGUUGUGAUUUUGUUUUUAAUACAUACAUAUUUACUCUUAACAACUGUUUUAUUUUAGGUUUGGGGGAUUGAACCUAGGGCGUUAGCACUCAGCUACAUCCCUAGCCCUUUUUACUUUUUUGUUUGGAGGCAAGGUCUCACUAAAUUGAGCUCCUGAUCCUCUUGCCUCAGCCUCCCUCGGUGCUGGGACUACAGGUCCCCAAGACCACCGUUGAGUUCAAUGACUCACAGAAAAGUGAUUAGUUUAAUAACCAAAAUCCACAAGUAUAGCUUAAAAUCUGCAAAGACCCAUUCCACUGUCAAGAUCUCCCAUGCAGUAUGGACUACAGAACUAUCCAGAGAAGUUAAACAACUUGGACAAGGUCACACCCACGUCAGAUGAUGGAGCCCAGAUUAGACUGGAGAGCUGAUUCUCAAGUGUAUGCUCAUGAUACGGUGAAUAAAUAUUUGGUGGAAUCUCUGGUGUGAAAAGAGUGCAUUUUGUAAGUCAAUCAGGUUGAUUGGUGCCUGGGGUCCCCUAGAGAGCUUCAGGAUGGG
rnacentral:lncRNA from 1 species